UACGUAGGCGGCAAGCGUUGUCCGGAUUUACUGGGUGUAAAGGGCGCGUAGGCGGGAUUGCAAGUCAGGUGUGAAAUCUCCGGGCUUAACCCGGAAAUUGCAUUUGAAACUGUAGUUCUUGAGUAUCGGAGAGGCAAGCGGAAUUCCUAGUGUAGCGGUGAAAUGCGUAGAUAUUUGGAGGAACACCAGUGGCGAAGGCGGCUUGCUGGACGACAACUGACGCUGAGGCGCGAAAGCGUGGGGGGCAAAC
rnacentral:rRNA from 1 species